rnacentral:lncRNA from 1 species
GCCGCCGGCGGGGCGCGCGGCGGUGCGGGCGGGUGACUGGCGGCGGGCGCCGCGGUCGGGCUGGCUGCCGGGCAGCAUGGAGGAGCUGAGCAGCGUGGGCGAGCAGGUCUUCGCCGCCGAGUGCAUCCUGAGCAAGCGGCUCCGCAAGGGCAAGCUGGAGUACCUGGUCAAGUGGCGCGGCUGGUCCUCCAAACAUAACAGCUGGGAGCCGGAGGAGAACAUCCUGGACCCGAGGCUGCUCCUGGCCUUCCAGAAGAAGUGAGGACGCUGACAGCACUGUGGGGAGGGUGUGGGGGAGGGACGGUGGCUGGUUGGAGUCGUGCUGGGCGCUGCUCGCCUGCCGGGAGGCUGGAGCUGGGGCUGUGGUCUGAGGUCCCUUAGCAAGAUUGUGUCCAGGGCCAUCUCUGUGGCUGGCUGUAAAAGUCCCCAGCCAGCCCCUCUCCCACCUUCUCCUAGCCAGCCUGUAUCCAUCCCUGAGAAGACCCCAAGUAAGUG